rnacentral:rRNA from 1 species
CGUGAGAUGUUGGGUUAAGUCCCGCAACGAGCGCAACCCUUUUCCUUAUUUGCCAGCGGGUUAAGCCGGGAACUUUAAGGAUACUGCCAGUGACAAACUGGAGGAAGGCGGGGACGACGUCAAGUCAUCAUGGCCCUUACGACCAGGGCUACACACGUGCUACAAUGGUAGGUACAGAGGGUUGCUACACAGCGAUGUGAUGCUAAUCUCAAAAAGCCUAUCGUAGUCCGGAUUGGAGUCUGCAACUCGACUCCAAU